AGUGACGUACACUUCGCGCAUGCGUGGAACAACUACCAAACAUUUGGAAUUAAUUUGGCGGCUGUUUAUCUACUCCCGAGUUAUGCAAUGUUUUGGUUUGGAGAUUGGGAAGCAAAGGAGAGAGAGGACCACUGAAGGUCUGAGUGGAACCAAAGGAGACAAGCAUCGGUGGAGCGGUCAUUCUCAGCACUGAAAAGAAUCCAAACAUACAGUCGGAACAGGACCGAUCAAGGACGACUUUCUUCCCUGGCAGUGAUCUCCAUCGAGACAGAGAGACUUUUAAAACUGAAGAAAGAUAAGGAAGACUUCUUUAAACAAGUUAUCAAUGCUUUUGUUCAGAAGGAGCGGCGCAUGGACUUCAUUUAUAAGUAAAGGGCUUCCAAGGAAGAGGUGGACCCAAAGGGGACUUUGGAGACCCUGGUGUGGAGGGGCUGGCUGGUGAGAAAGGUGAAAAGGGUAUGUCUGGAGAAGCUGGCCCUAAAGGACAGCACAGAGUGAGGGG